rnacentral:lncRNA from 1 species
CAGCCCGCUCCUUGUUCUCUGCUCCUCUCUCACUGCCUGUCUCACAGUGCGCAGCCCGACUGGCCCACAAACCCCAACUGAGCCCAUGAAGCAGCAAGAUGGGUUGUUUGCCCUCAGUCACACGCCAUCAAGUCUGGGCAUGGUCACCGUGUAAUUUCAUGAGAUGACUGAAAUCAUAAAACGAUUUUAACUUUAUUUCAUUUUCUUUCAUUUAUUCAUUUAGCUUGAUCAUCUACACAAUCUAAAAGUAUUUGGGGUCAGGAGAGCUGAGAGGACGAUUAAUUCAACAACCAUCAAGGCAUAUGACAGCCCUCAAGGCAGCUCGGAGCCGCUCCUCUCACCAGCUGCUUCUGGACGCGUCUGCCAAGUUGCCAGACAUUGUGGAAAGAGCAGUUGCUUCCCAUAUGACAUCUGUGAUAUCAGGCCACAUGAAGAUCUCAACAUCUAUUCUCUGUGCUUAGUAUUCUGCUGGCUACCUGAAAGAAGGUGAGCUGCUGGCUACCUGAAAGAAGCAGCAAACUAGACCCCUAAGGCAUGGCUGUCUUCAACUCCAGUGCUUCAGGCACAUGUGUUUGCCGGAUGCCUCUGCGCCCAGAAGCACUUCACCUACCAGGAGCCAGGGUCAAAGAGGUUUGGAUCCCUGACCUCAUGGAAGACAGUUCCCACUGGUCAUCCAUAGACCUGAGGAUGGUCGUCUCUUCUCCAGCUUUGCUCUUCAGAGGCGGGGAUAAUGUCUUAUUCAUCUUUGUAUCCUGACAGCCCUUUGCACAAUAUCUGGCAUCUAGUAGGUGAGUGACCCAUAAAACGAUCUUACUGUGGAGAAGAGAUGCUGCAUUCCAGGAAGGCUACCUCUGGAAGUGCAGGUGGCCCCUGAUUGACCGGCUGGUACUUUAUCUCUCUGAUAAGGUCUCUUCUUGCUCUUUAGCCUGAACUCAGCCUCUGCUAUCAGAGGUUUAUGAGUUACUGUAAAAUCACUGGGGAAUCUUGGAGAGCUG